CAGUCGCCGCGGUAAUACGAAGGGGGCUAGCGUUGUUCGGAAUUACUGGGCGUAAAGCGCACGUAGGCGGAUAUUUAAGUCAGGGGUGAAAUCCCGCAGCUCAACUGCGGAACUGCCUUUGAUACUGGGUAUCUUGAGUAUGGAAGAGGUUAGUGGAAUUGCGAGUGUAGAGGUGAAAUUCGUAGAUAUUCGCAGGAACACCAGUGGCGAAGGCGGCUAACUGGUCCAUAACUGACGCUGAGGUGCGAAAGCGUGGGGAGCAAACAGGAUUAGAUACCCGUGUAGUCCCUGUCUCUUAUAC
rnacentral:rRNA from 1 species